CCAUCCUUCUUUGGUGUUAGUAGGGCAGGAACUCCACAAGGACUUAGGCUUUCACGAAUAAAGCCUUUAGUAAGUAAUUCAUCAACUUGCCUUUUCAAUUCAGCAUGCUCUGUUGGAUUCAUUCUGUAAGCUGGUAAAUUUGGUAAUGAUGCACCGGGAAUCAAAUCAAUGGCAUGUUGUAUGUCACGCAUAGGAGGGAGUUCAUUAGGUAACUCUGCAAGCCACAAGUCAGAAAAGUCAUCAAGGAUUUUACGUGCGUUUGCUGGAUAUUCCUUAUCUUGUUCUUUAAAUUCUUCCACUUUCCGAGCCAUUAAAGCAAAAAUAACUUUAGUUUCCUUGCUCUCAUUUUCAAAUUGACACAUAGUAAGUACCUUUUUUGGUUGUGCAUUCUCAUCCGACUUAUUAAUUGGAGGGACUUCUUUCAUUGGACAAAGGAUCUUCUUACGUCCGUUGUGCAUGAGAGCAUAUGUAUUUUCAUAGCCGUCAUGUUGAACUUUUCUAUCAAAGAGCUAAGGUCUUCCAAGUAAAAUAUGACUUACUUUAAUGGGUAAGACCUCACACCAUACAGACUCUUCAAAGUCCUUACCAAAAAGGAAUGUUACUAAACAACAAAAACUUACCAGGAUAGAGGUGUCAUUAACCCAUGCUACUCUGAAUGGAUUUGGAUGUCUCUCUGUUUUAAGGUUUAGCUUCUCAACAAGUUCUUGUGAAGCUAUGUUCAAACUGCUACCUCCAUCAAUGAUCAUGGUGCAUAAUCUCCCUUGGCAAGAAAUACGUGUUUGGAAAAUGCUAGUACGUCGCCAAUCUUCUUCUCCUUUUACUUUUGGAACGGUUAAUAAAGGUCGUACUACAAGACUAUAUCCUUCUGUCAUACCAUCAUAGUAGUCACAUUCUUCACUAACUUCAUCUUCAUUGUAGGUCUCUUCUUCCUUUGGGUAACUUUCCAAUUCAGAUUCUGGUUCUUCAACACAAAAGUGUAAACUUUUGGUUGGGCAUACAACAGCAUAAUGACCAUGCCCACCACACUUAAAGCAUAAAGGAGUCACGUCUACUUUUCUAUCUCCAUUACUCAUUGAAUUUUUACCCUUAUUACCAUUCUUGUAAGCCACAUUCGAAGUUUGUUGAGUGUUGCCCCCACCAUUCACAUGAUUAGGAGUUCUGAAGUUUGACGUGCUUAAAGGUUUGCUUGCUGUCCUGUUGGAGAAAGUGCUCUCAAUUUGUGAACUUGGACGCCUGGAAACCCGGAAUUUGAGGCCUUCUUCUAUUUUGAGGGCUAGUUGAUAAACGUCAUCUACGGUAUAAGUGUGUGCAGCUAUCAUCUCAAGUUGAAUCUCCAUUCGAAGUCCAGCUUUGUAGCGGGCUGCAAGUUGAGCAUCACUUUCCCGCACUUGAUUUCGAAUGCUCAAUUCAUGGAAUUCUUCUGUAUAUUCUUCAACGGACUUGGUACCUUGUUUAAGGGAAAACAAUUUUGUAUACAUAAGUUGUUCAUAAUCAGUUGGGAGAAAGUGCUCCUUCAUCUUCAACUUCAUCUCGUCUCAUGUGUCAAUAGGCGGUUGGCCAGUUCUAUGAGCUUGAUUCUCGAUAUUAUGCCACCAUAGACGUGC
rnacentral:lncRNA from 1 species